CCUACGGGUGGCAGCAGUGAGGAAUAUUGGUCAAUGGACGAGAGUCUGAACCAGCCAAGUAGCGUGAAGGAUGACUGCCCUAUGGGUUGUAAACUUCUUUUAUAUGGGAAUAAAAUGUUCCACGUGUGGGAUUUUGUAUGUACCAUAUGAAUAAGGAUCGGCUAACUCCGUGCCAGCAGCCGCGGUAAUACGGAGGAUCCGAGCGUUAUCCGGAUUUGUUGGGUUUAAAGGGGGCGUAGGGGGAUUGUUAAGUCAGUUGUGAAAUUUUGCGGCUCAACCGUAACAUUGCAGUUGAAACUGGCGGUCUUGAGUACAGUAGAGGUAGGCGGAAUUCGUGGUGGAGCGGUGAAAUGCUUAGAUAUCACGAAGAACUCCGAUUGCGAAGGCAGUUCACUGGACUGCAACUGACACUGAGGCACGAAAGUGUGGGUAUCAAACAGGAUUAGAUACCCGAGUAGUC
rnacentral:rRNA from 1 species